UACGAAGGGGGGCGAGCGUUGUUCGGAUUUACUGGGCGUAAAGGGCGCGUAGGCGCCUUGUCAGUCAGGCGUGAAAGCCCCGGGCUCAACCUGGGAAACGGCGCUUGGGACGGCGAGGCUGGAGUUCGGGAGAGGAGAGUGGAAUUCCCAGUGUAGAGGUGAAAUUCGUAGAUAUUGGGAAGAACACCGGUGGCGAAGGCGGGUCUCUGGGCCGAUACUGACGCUGAGGAGCGAAAGCGUGGGGAGCGAACAGG
rnacentral:rRNA from 1 species